rnacentral:rRNA from 1 species
GUAAGGAAUAUUGGUCAAUGGAGGCAACUCUGAACCAGCCAUGCCGCGUGCAGGAAGACGGCCCUCUGGGUUGUAAACUGCUUUUAUCCGGGAAUAAACCUGCCUUCGUGAAGGUAGCUGAAUGUACCGGAAGAAUAAGGAUCGGCUAACUCCGUGCCAGCAGCCGCGGUAAUACGGAGGAUCCAAGCGUUAUCCGGAUUUAUUGGAUUUAAAGGGUGCGUAGGCGGCCUGUUAAGUCAGGGGUGAAAGACGGUGGCUCAACCAUCGCAGUGCCCUUGAUACUGAUGGGCUUGAAUGGACUAGAGGUAGGCGGAAUGUGACAAGUAGCGGUGAAAUGCAUAGAUAUGUCACAGAACACCGAUUGCGAAGGCAGCUUACUAUGGUCCUAUUGACGCUGAGGCACGAAAGCGUGGGGAUCGAACAGGAUUAGAUACCCUGGUAGUCC